UACGUAGGGGGCAAGCGUUGUCCGGAUUUAUUGGGCGUAAAGAGCGUGUAGGCGGCCUGACAGGUCUGCUGUGAAAACUCGAGGCUCAACCUCGAGAUGUCGGCGGAAACCGUCUGGCUAGAGUCCGGAAGAGGAGAGUGGAAUUCCUGGUGUAGCGGUGAAAUGCGUAGAUAUCAGGAGGAAUACCUAUGGCGAAAGCAGGUAUCUGGGCCAUCACUGACGCUGAGGUGCGAAAGCUAGGGGAGCAAACAGG
rnacentral:rRNA from 1 species